rnacentral:piRNA from 1 species
UCUUCUUUGGAAAUUGCUCUCUCUGCUGC